GACGAACGCUGGCGGCGUGCUUAACACAUGCAAGUCGAACGGAAAGGCCCUGCUUUUGUGGGGUGCUCGAGUGGCGAACGGGUGAGUAACACGUGAGUAACCUGCCCUUGACUUUGGGAUAACUUCAGGAAACUGGGGCUAAUACCGGAUAGGAGCUCCUGCUGCAUCGUGGGGGUUGGAAAGUUUCGGCGGUUGGGGAUGGACUCGCGGCUUAUCAGCUUGUUGGUGGGGUAGUGGCUUACCAGGGCUUUGACGGGUAGCCGGCCUGAGAGGGUGACCGGCCACAUUGGGACUGAGAUACGGCCCAGACUCCUACGGGAGGCAGCAGUGGGGAAUAUUGCACAAUGGGCGGAAGCCUGAUGCAGCAACGCCGCGUGCGGGAUGACGGCCUUCGGGUUGUAAACCGCUUUCGCCUGUGACGAAGCGUGAGUGACGGUAAUGGGUAAAGAAGCACCGGCUAACUACGUG
rnacentral:rRNA from 1 species